rnacentral:rRNA from 1 species
GACGAACGCUGGCGGCGCGCCUAACACAUGCAAGUCGAACGAGAGAGAGGGAGCUUGCUUCCUUGAUCGAGUGGCGAACGGGUGAGUAACGCGUGAGGAACCUGCCUCAAAGAGGGGGACAACAGUUGGGAACGACUGCUAAUACCGCAUAAGCCCACGGCUCGGCAUCGAGCAGAGGGAAAAGGAGCAAUCCGCUUUGAGAUGGCCUCGCGUCCGAUUAGCUAGUUGGUGAGGUAACGGCCCACCAAGGCGACGAUCGGUAGCCGGACUGAGAGGUUGAACGGCCACAUUGGGACUGAGACACGGCCCAGACUCCUACGGGAGGCAGCAGUGGGGAAUAUUGCACAAUGGGGGAAACCCUGAUGCAGCGACGCCGCGUGGAGGAAGAAGGUCUUCGGAUUGUAAACUCCUGUUGUUGAGGAA